rnacentral:rRNA from 1 species
AACACAUGCAAGUCGAGCGCGAAAGCACUUCGGUGUGAGUAGAGCGGCGGACGGGUGAGUAACGCGUAGGAAUCUACCUGGUAGUGGGGGACAACCUGGGGAAACCCAGGCUAAUACCGCAUACGCCCUGAGGGGGAAAGCGGGGGAUCUUCGGACCUCGCGCUAUUGGAUGAGCCUGCGUCGGAUUAGCUAGUUGGUGGGGUAAAGGCCCACCAAGGCGACGAUCCGUAGCUGGUCUGAGAGGACGAUCAGCCACACUGGGACUGAGACACGGCCCAGACUCCUACGGGAGGCAGCAGUGGGGAAUAUUGCGCAAUGGGGGCAACCCUGACGCAGCCAUGCCGCGUGUGUGAAGAAGGCUCUAGGGUUGUAAAGCACUUUCAAUUGGGAGAAAAAGCCCAUUUUUAAUACGGAUGGGUCUUGAUGUUACCUUUAGAAGAAGCACCGGCUAACUCCGUGCCAACAGCCGCGGUAAUACGGAGGGUGCAAGCGUUGUUCGGAAUUACUGGGCGUAAAGCGCGCGUAGGCGGCUAUGUAAGUCAGAUGUUAAAGCCCGCGGCUCAACCGUGGAAGUGCAUUUGAAACUGUAUAGCUUGAGUUCUGGAGGGGGGUAAUGGAAU